rnacentral:rRNA from 1 species
GAUGAACGCUGCCCGAAUGCUUAACACAUGCAAGUCCACUUGAACUUCGGUUUGGGUGGCGGACGGGUGAGUAACGCGUAAAGAACUUGCCUCACAGAUAGGGACAACAUUUGGAAACGAAUGCUAAUACCUGAUAUUAUGAUUAUAUGGCAUCGUAUAAUUAUGAAAGCUAUAUGCGCUGUGAGAGAGCUUUGCGUCCCAUUAGCUAGUUGGAGAGGUAACGGCUCACCAAGGCGAUGAUGGGUAGCCGGCCUGAGAGGGUGAUCGGCCACAAGGGGACUGAGACACGGCCCUUACUCCUACGGGAGGCAGCAGUGGGGAAUAUUGGACAAUGGACCAAGAGUCUGAUCCAGCAAUUCUGUGUGCACGAUGAAGUUUUUCGGAAUGUAAAGUGCUUUCAGUUGGGAAGAAAAAAAUGACGGUACCAACAGAAGAAGUGACGGCUAAAUACGUG